GUGCACCAGGCGCGAAUACUUUACAAUGUGCGAAAGCACGAUAAGGGAACUCUGAGUGCCUCCUAAGGAGGGCUGUUCGGGGUGUCUAAAAAGCACCUGAAGGAAGGGCUGGGUAAGACCGGUGCCAGCCGCCGCGGUAACACCGGCAGCCCAAGUGGGUAGCCACGUUUAUUGGGUCUAAAGCGUCCGUAGCCGGCUGGGUAAGGUUCCUUGGGGAAAUUUGGCUGCUUAACAGUCAAGCUUUCAGGGAAUACUGCCC
rnacentral:rRNA from 1 species